rnacentral:rRNA from 1 species
CACGGGGGGAGCAAGCGUUGUUCGGAAUCACUGGGCGUAAAGGGCGUGUAGGCGGUCAGGUAAGUGGGAUGUGAAAUGCCCCGGCUCACCCGGGGACCGGCAUCUCAUACUGCUUGGCUUGAGUACGGGAGAGGAUGUGGGAAUUCCUGGUGUAGCGGUGAAAUGCGUAGAUAUCAGGAGGAACACCGGUGGCGAAGGCGGGUCUCUGGGCAGUAACUGACGCUGAGGAGCGAAAGCGUGGGGAGCGAACAGG